rnacentral:rRNA from 1 species
CGUGAGUGAUGAAGGCCUUUGGGUUGUAAAGCUCUUUCCUCGGGGAAGAAAAUGACUGUUCCCGUAUAAGAAGGUCCGGCUAACUUCGUGCCAACAGCCGCGGUAA